AGUCGAGUAAAAAUCAAACGAAAAACAAAGAAGAAGAAGCAGCAAAAAUGGCCAACGUAAUCGCUUUUCUUGUCAUAACAUUCUUCUGCCUAACGAUGUUGGCCAACGUCGAAGCGGCAGGCUUACCGCUAGUGAAUUCUCUCACCAAUGUCGUUCAAGCGGCAGGUACCUCGGUCGAGAGCAUUCUUAAACAAGUAAUAGCUUUAGUAGUGUCUCUGCUCGACGUCGGUUCCAAUUUACAAGUUGUACUAAGCACCGUGGUCAAUGUGCUGCAAGCUUUGCUGGGUUCCAGCUUAUUAAAAUAAUUUAAUCCUGCUUGUACCAUACUGUAACCGUACUAUAUUCAGAUGCAUCGAAGUAUAAGUUUGAAAUUGUA